rnacentral:lncRNA from 1 species
ACAAGAGUAGAUGAUAUCACAUACCAGUGAGCUACAGGCACUGAAGCAGACAGAAGAUAUUCAGACCUAAGGCUGCUCUCACAACCCCACACUGAGGGCUCCCAGUUCCCAGCUGGAAAGAGAGCUGAGGUCCCACUGCCAGGAAGUCUCUGAGGAGUUUUAAAGCAAGGAAGUGCUUGUGAUCAAACUUCAGGAUUACAGUCUAACAAAGAGGCAACUUUUAACAAUUCAAGUCUGAUUGGAAAAAAAUGAUAAAAUAAAUCAAGACAAUUUAGAUGUAUAUAUUUCAAGGUCAUUUUUAAAAAAGUUUAGGGGGAGGGAAAAGCAUACGUGAAGAAUAGUUGAAUUAAUCUGCAGUAUAGAUACAAUUGAACCAACUGUUUAUUUACAACAAUUCAUGAAAUUCAGCAGCCUGAACACACACCCAUAUAGCAGCUAUAGCAGCAAUUACCUGGUCUAUUAAAUGAUGUCGCAUCUCAUCUCUUCUGCAGGCAAAGAAUGAUUGGUCAGAGGUCACAGCUUACUUUCUUGCACGAGGUAAAACAUUAUGUGCAAGCAAUUCCUUGAUCUAUAUAACAGCUGUGAGAGCAACACAGUUGUACUGCUCUUUGUGAUAAGCACAUUUGUCUUGCGUGUAAGGAGAACAGAAAGCUUCUCUGAUGUAAAUGUGCCUUUAGAAAGUGAGAA